AGGGCCGUAGCUCAGUUGGUUAGAGCGCUACCUUGACACGGUAGAGGUCGACGGUCUCGAAUCCGUCCGGUCCUA
rnacentral:tRNA from 1 species